CAUUGGUGAUCUCAACGAAUUUAAGAAGACAUUGAUCUUAGGUAUUCUUAGAUUAAAUAAAAUCCUUGUGAUUAUCCUAGUUUUCCGGGUAUUCUCAGAAUCAACGGAUCACUAAUUCUAUCUUUUAAGGCUUCUGCUACAUCAACGAAGAAGUUCACGAAGUUUGUAUCUGUUAUGCUUUGUGGCUAGAUUCCAUUUUGUUGGUUUAUUAUGAGCGGUGAGGAUGCUAUUCUGAAUUGUAGUUGAAACCCUUUAAACGGUAGCUUGUGUUUUCCGCUGCAGUUGAUGUAACUUCAGCAAAUCCAGUUUGAUAUCUCUGGUGACCACCUUGCUACUGGGGGACCGUGGAGGACGGGUUGUUCUUUUCGAGAGAACAGAUGCCAAGAAUAGCAGUGGAGCUAGAAGGGAUCUUGAAGAAACAGAUUAUCAAUUGAGUUUUGUUAUAAACACAGAGUUUCAGAGUCACGAUCCUGAGUGACGGCAGAAACAUUUAUUUCUGCUGAUGAUGAUUUGCGAAUAAAAUAUUUGGAAUCUGGACAUUAUUAGCAAUCAGAGUUUCAAUAUUGUUGAUGUCAAGCCUGAGAAAAUGGAAGAUC